GAUGAACGCUGGCGGCGUGCCUAAUACAUGCAAGUCGAGCGAACAGACGAGGAGCUUGCUCCUCUGAUGUUAGCGGCGGACGGGUGAGUAACACGUGGAUAACCUACCUAUAAGACUGGGAUAACUUCGGGAAACCGGAGCUAAUACCGGAUAACAUGUUGAACCGCAUGGUUCAAAAGUGAAAGACGGUCUUGCUGUCACUUAUAGAUGGAUCCGCGCCGCAUUAGCUAAUUUGUAAGGUAACGGCUUACCAAGGCAACGAUGCGUAGCCGACCUGAGAGGGUGAUCGGCCACACUGGAACUGAGACACGGUCCAGACUCCUACGGGAGGCAGCAGUAGGGAAUCUUCCGCAAUGGGCGAAAGCCUGACGGAGCAACGCCGCGUGAGUGAAGAAGGUCUUCGGAUCGUAAAACUCUGUUAUUCGGGAAGAACAAAUGUGUAAGUAACUAUGCACGUCUUGACGGUACCUAAUCAGAAAGCCACGGCUAACUACGUG
rnacentral:rRNA from 1 species